rnacentral:rRNA from 1 species
UUGUAAUGUGAGCAGCCUGGGUGCGUCAGUGCAGGUAAGUGACAUGAAAAUGUUCGCCGUGGAGGGUGAGAGCCCCGUCCAGCCUGCACAGGGCGUGCCGUACAGGGCUGUCUCGAAUGAGUCGGGUAGCUUGGGAAUGCUGCUCUAAGAUCGGUGGUAAAUUUCAUCGAAGGCUAAAUACUGCUGGAAGACCGAUAGUGAACAAGUACCGUGAGGGAAAGAUGAAAAGCACUUUGAAAAGAGGGUGAAAAGAAUCUGAAACCGUUGUGAGGGAAGCGGAUUGCGUUGCAGUAACUGUGGGCGCCGGUGUGUUCAGCCUGUUUCGGCGGGUGUAGUGGCACCGGUGGCUCCGUCUGCUGUGGGUUUGUGGUGGCUGAUUGCAAGGCUGCUGCGGACUGAGGGCUCCGUGCUGCUUUGCGGCGGCACGUGAGGACGGCAGGGUGACGACGCGAUACGACCCGUCUUGAAACACGGACCAAGGAGUCUAGCACAGCUGCGAGUCUGAGGGUGUCGAAGCCUGUGGGCGAAGUGAAAGCGAAAGAUGGCGGUAAUUCCAUAUUUUCAGAAUGACAAAGUUGUUGCAAUUUGGGG